AUUGAACGCUGGCGGCAGGCUUAACACAUGCAAGUCGAGCGGGGAGAUGUAGCUUGCUACAUAUCCUAGCGGCGGACGGGUGAGUAAUGCUUAGGAAUCUGCCUAUUAGUGGGGGACAACAUUCCGAAAGGAAUGCUAAUACCGCAUACGCCCUACGGGGGAAAGCAGGGGGAUCUUCGGACCUUGCGCUAAUAGAUGAGCCUAAGUCGGAUUAGCUAGUUGGUGGGGUAAAGGCCUACCAAGGCGACGAUCUGUAGCGGGUCUGAGAGGAUGAUCCGCCACACUGGGACUGAGACACGGCCCAGACUCCUACGGGAGGCAGCAGUGGGGAAUAUUGGACAAUGGGCGGAAGCCUGAUCCAGCCAUGCCGCGUGUGUGAAGAAGGCCUUUUGGUUGUAAAGCACUUUAAGCGAGGAGGAGGCUACUUGGAUUAAUACUCUAGGAUAGUGGACGUUACUCGCAGAAUAAGCACCGGCUAACUCUGUGCCAGCAGCCGCCGUAAUAC
rnacentral:rRNA from 1 species